GAUCGCAAGACCUUGCGCUAAAGGAGCGGCCGAUGUCUGAUUAGCUAGUUGGUGGGGUAAAGGCUUACCAAGGCAACGAUCAGUAGUUGGUCUGAGAGGACGGCCAACCACACUGGGACUGAGACACGGCCCAGACUCCUACGGGAGGCAGCAGUGGGGGAUUUUGGACAAUGGGCGAAAGCCUGAUCCAGCCAUGCCGCGUGAGUGAAGAAGGCCUUCGGGUUGUAAAGCUCUUUUAGUCGGAAAGAAAGAGUUGCAAUGAAUAAUUGUGAUUUAUGACGGUACCGACAGAAAAAGCACCGGCUAACUACGUGCCAGCAGCCGCGGUAAUACGUAGGGUGCGAGCGUUAAUCGGAAUUGCUGGGCGUAAAGGGUGCGCAGGCGGUCUUGCAAGUCAGAUGUGAAAGCCCCGGGCUUAACCUGGGAAUUGCGUUUGAA
rnacentral:rRNA from 1 species